GAACAGACAUAAUGUCUUAACCUUUAUUCAUCAAAGUACAACAAACAUGGACAUCCAUCCACAUGAAGAUGACCGGGGGUAUCACUAGACUAGCAUCCAUGGAGCUCAGCAUCAUAUCUUCAUCUGCAACUUCUGAUCAAAAUUAAGCAAGGGUGAGCUCACUUAUGGUCGGGGCUCAGCAAGUGGGGGAGAAACUAAUGCAAGGUAACAAGGUGAGGCUAAGGUUGAGCAGUAAGCAUUUUAGUUGGUCAACAUUUUAUUAACAACACCUGUCCUACUAAUAAGUGUGAAUCCCAAGUAUUCCCAUUAAACAAAGUUACAAGAGUAUAUCAAAAACACUUAAGUGAAACCACUUAAGAAAACCAUUGGUAGAUCAUCGGAUCUCGAUUUAUUUCCAUCUUCAAGUUCAAUUAUCAUUUGAGGAGUCCAGGCUGCUCAUAACCGUGAGCACGACUGAUAUAUCAGUUUUACACUCUGCAGAGAUGGUACAACUUUACCCACAAGCCGUGUAUCCCCUCUAGCCUGGGUCGGCCAAAACCCGUAAACACUUCCGAGGUGAGUGGCUAGGGAUCCACUAUGAGGCUUUCACAAAAUACACUUAAUACGAAGCAACCCGCUAAGGUUUCUAAAGACAAUGGUGGUGGCCCCCUGGGUGAGGUACCUUAGCCAAGAAUACGUCCCCAUGUUAACGUGGGCUGCCAACACCUACCGCUCCCCCUCUUGCCCAUAUUUCAGGUAAGGUUGCCAGGCACUAAGCAUAUAAAGCUAAUUACCAAAGCCAGAGCCAUGAUAGCACUCGUGGUUGCACUGUUUUCCCGGGUGGUCACUCCAUGUUCCAAUUAAUAUGCAAUAAUCUUGUUUAACCAUCGGGUUAACAACAAUAAUGUAAACUUACCAUUUUGGAACAUUAAUAUCAUAAGCGGGAGCGACUGCAUAAAGUUAAGUUGUAGCAAUAGCAUAGCUACGAAGGUAAAGUAUAAUUCCCAGGUUUGAUCAAGGAAUAAGGUUGGAAAGGUUAUCUAAAUAGGUAACCCAUCAAAUUAUGCAUAUAUAUCCAAAAGAAUAAACUUUAUUAAAUGUAUUGUUUGGGAUCAAACAGAGUAUGCAGAUGGAGAAGUCCACUUGCCUUGCUUAUUGAAAACUUGAGGUUCCUCCACGGAUAGGAAUAGAUCUUGAUUCUUAACUACUAGAUCAACCA
rnacentral:lncRNA from 1 species